rnacentral:lncRNA from 1 species
AAUUCUUGUCCAUUUAGUGACCAUGAUUAUACACUGCAUAGAAUAUAUCAUAUAUUAUUAUCAUCGAUCAAUCAAUAACAUUCCAAUACCAAAAAAUGAAACCCUAAAAUAAAAACCCUAAAAUUGCACCUACAAGUAACGGAGAGAGUGAAGAAGAGAAAACCCUAAUCCCGUUACCUAAGUGAACGAACACACACAGAGAGAGAAGAGUGAAGAAGAGAAAACCCUAAUUGCGUUACCUGAGUGAACGAACAGAGAGAGAGAGAGAGAGAGAGAGGCGCGAACGAAGCGAAGUGAUGAUCGAAGCGAAGUGAUGAUUGAAGCGAAGUGAAAAGAGAGAUGAUUGAUAGAGCGAAGAUAUAAUCGUUGAAUGAAUUAAAUACAAAUGAAGUGUUUUUGAGUAAUUUAUAUGCAGUGUCUUGUCUUAAUUCGUACGCUAUCGCGGCGGUUGUUUCUAUGGGCUUGUAUUUAUGAGCCCAAUUUUAAC